rnacentral:rRNA from 1 species
CCUACGAGUGGCUGCAGUGAGGAAUAUUGGUCAAUGGGCGCGAGCCUGAACCAGCCAAGUCGCGUGAGGGAAGACGGUCCUCUGGAUUGUAAACCUCUUUUGUCGGGGAGCAAACGACGCCACGCGUGGCGUUCCGCGAGUACCCGAAGAAAAAGCAUAGGCUAACUCCGUGCCAGCAGCCGCGGUAAUAAGGAGGAUGCGAGCGUUAUUCGGAUUUAUUGGGUUUAAGGGGUGCGCAGGCGGAAGAUCAAGUCAGCGGUAAAAUUGAGUGGCUCCACCGCUUCGAGCCGUUGAAACUGGUUGUCUUGAGUGAGCGAGAAGUAUGCGGAAUGCGUGGUGUAGCGGUGAAAUGCAUAGAUAUCACGCAGAACUCCGAUUGCGAAGGCAGCAUACCGGCGCUCAACUGACGCUCAUGCACGAAAGUGUGGGUAUCGAACAGGAUUAGAUACCCUGGUAGUC